CUGUACCUCUUGAGCCAGGCCGACCCCGACCGGGACUCGGACAAGACGGAGUUUUGUUCUUGUUGCCCAAGCUGGAGUGCAAUGGCACAAUCUUGGCUCACCACAACCUCUGCCACCCGGGUUCAAAUGAUACCACAAGUCAACCCAAAAGUUGCUGGGGAGAAGUUUCUCUUUAAUGAAUUGCAUCUCAUGAAUGUAUCAGGCUGUGACCUUUCUGCACUCUCUAAUGAGUUCAUGAAUUUAGGCCAAUUAUGGCCACAAAUGCUGCUGCUGUCACAGAGAGAUGCCGGAUAAACAACACCCACCACCAGUCUCUGAACAGGGAGGGGAGAAUCAACUCUGAAUGUGAUGUAGUGGCCAGGAGAGAGGACCACGUUCAACAACGCCACACAGAUGCAAAUGGCCUGUUUCUUCAACAAACUGCAAGGGAAAAAAUAAAAAUGGGGGAAGCUACAGAUUAAAAUACAUGUGUUUGGAUAGGAGAGUAUUCAAUGGCAAAAGAAAAAGAAAAAAUUUAAAAAUGAAAUUGUGCAAAACUUAUUUGAAUCCUGUUCAAGUGAGCAACAAAACAUUAUGAUGUACAUGAGACAACUGGAAAUAUAACUCUGACUGGACACUUUGA